rnacentral:rRNA from 1 species
UGGGGAAUAUUGGACAAUGGACCAAGAGUCUGAUCCAGCAAUUCUGUGUGCACGAUGAAGUUUUUCGGAAUGUAAAGUGCUUUCAGUUGGGAAGAAAAAAAUGACGGUACCAACAGAAGAAGUGACGGCUAAAUACGUGCCGGCAGCCGCGGUAAUACGUAUGUCACAAGCGUUAUCCGGAUUUAUUGGGCGUAAAGCGCGUCUAGGUGGUUAUGUAAGUCUGAUGUGAAAAUGCAGGGCUCAACUCUGUAUUGCGUUGGAAACUGUGUAACUAGAGUACUGGAGAGGUAAGCGGAACUACAAGUGUAGAGGUGAAAUUCGUAGAUAUUUGUAGGAAUGCCGAUGGGGAAGCCAGCUUACUGGACAGAUACUGACGCUGAAGCGCGAAAGCGUGGGUAGCAAACAGGAUUAGAUACCCUGGUAGUCCACGCCGUAAACGAUGAUUACUAGGUGUUGGGGGUCGAACCUCAGCGCCCAAGCAAACGCGAUAAGUAAUCCGCCUGGGGAGUACGUACGCAAGUAUG